rnacentral:rRNA from 1 species
AGUGAACGCUGGCGGUAGGCCUAACACAUGCAAGUCGAACGGCAGCACAGUAAGAGCUUGCUCUUACGGGUAGCGAGUGGCGGACGGGUGAGGAAUACAUCGGAAUCUACUUUUUCGCGGGGGAUAACGUAGGGAAACUUACGCUAAUACCGCAUACGACCUACGGGUGAAAGCAGGGGAUCUUCGGACCUUGCGCGAUUGAAUGAGCCGAUGUCGGAUUAGCUAGUUGGCGGGGUAAAGGCCCACCAAGGCGACGAUCCGUAGCUGGUCUGAGAGGAUGAUCAGCCACACUGGAACUGAGACACGGUCCAGACUCCUACGGGAGGCAGCAGUGGGGAAUAUUGGACAAUGGGCGCAAGCCUGAUCCAGCCAUACCGCGUGGGUGAAGAAGGCCUUCGGGUUGUAAAGCCCUUUUGUUGGGAAAGAAAAGCAGCAGGUUAAUACCCCGCUGUUCUGACGGUACCCAAAGAAUAAGCACCGGCUAACUUCGUG